rnacentral:rRNA from 1 species
UACGUAGGUGGCAAGCGUUGUCCGGAUUUACUGGGUGUAAAGGGCGCGUAGGCGGGAUGGCGAGUCAGAUGUGAAAUCCCCGGGCUCAACCCGGGAACUGCAUUUGAAACUGUCGUUCUUGAGUAUCGGAGAGGCAAGCGGAAUUCCUAGUGUAGCGGUGAAAUGCGUAGAUAUUAGGAGGAACACCAGUGGCGAAGGCGGCUUGCUGGACGACAACUGACGCUGAGGCGCGAAAGCGUGGGGAGCAAAC